rnacentral:lncRNA from 1 species
CAAGCCAACAGGGCGCGACCAUCCUCCUCGGCACGCCUUGUUGUCUAGGGCCCACCUCGUGGCUCCGUUUGACGUGAUCCCAACACUGAAAAUGAAAUAUAUUGGAAAACACCCUCAAGUUAACCUCGAACAUCCGCUCCGUCGCGUAUGUCUCUUUACCGAAGAAACCUUAUCCGGAGCCCUGUCAUAAGGGACAGUCUGUUGGAAAUAUACCCUAGCAGCAAUAAAUUGGUUAUUAUUAUAUUUCCUUGUUCAUGAUAAUUGUCUAUUAUUCAUGCUAUAAUUGUAUUAACCGAAAACCGUAAUACAUGUGUGAACAGUGACGGAGCUAGCAAUUUAUCAAUGCCUGGGCACGACGUAAGCUAAAUUUUACUUUGGUAUGUGAAACACUAAUUAGUGCAUACUCAUAUGUAAACUAGUACUUAUAAAUCUUUUAAACCACUACUAGCCACACGACCAAAUAUUUUGAUGUCUUGACAAGAACAAUCUCCAAUGUUCAUCGUUUGCGCACGAAAAAGAAUCUACAAGAUAUAACACAUUAGCAAAUUAUACAAAAUUCAUCAAAACUAAACCAUUAGAGAACGAACAAUACCAAUAAUGUGCUAAUUGCACAAGUCCUCAACCUAAUUGUUUGCUUGCGUGGAUAGUGCCGACGAGGACGACCCACCGUCUAAUCAAGCGGGAGAUGAAUUUUAACCGGCACUAGAGGAUCUGCCACCUGUUUGCCCGCGCUUGCGCUUCCCGUCCUGACAGUCGGCUGUGGUAGUCAUGGACGAGGCCUGGCCACAAUCGCUCUUGUGAUCUUGCCGGCGAGGGUGAUCCGGCACUUCGCGUCAGAGGCGCAGUCGCGCAAGAGUGGUGGUUAGGGCCAGCCGGCCAGGUUGUGUCUCGCGAGUAUCGUUUUCACGCACACAAACAGGCUAGAUGAGAGGCUGAUAGAUCGAUUCAUAUUCGUGCUAUUCUUCUCAUGACCUACCAUGGCCUGCUGUAGCCCAUGUACAGAGUUG